UACGGAGGGGGCUAGCGUUGUUCGGAAUUACUGGGCGUAAAGCGCACGUAGGCGGCUUUGUAAGUUAGAGGUGAAAGCCCAGGGCUUAACCCUGGAAUUGCCUUUAAGACUGCAUCGCUAGAAUCGUGGAGAGGUAAGUGGAAUUCCGAGUGUAGAGGUGAAAUUCGUAGAUAUUCGGAAGAACACCAGUGGCGAAGGCGACAUACUGGGUCAUGACUGACGCUGAGGCUCGAAAGCGUGGGGAGCAAACAGG
rnacentral:rRNA from 1 species